UGGAGGAACGUGCGUACGCCCCAGCUUCCUGUUUGGUCGUGGUGAGAGGGAGCAUGACGUCACCGCUCUUGCUUUCCUUCACUCAAACACACCCGCGGUAUAUUGAGACACAAAUAUGGACGUGCAUCAAUGGCCGCCGCACAACAUUAAUGACACGAGUUACCUUCCCCAGGAACACGGUGGAGCUCACAGCGCCAGGAGAUGACGACGCGCUCAGCGCUGAUGGAACACCGUGUUGCGUUGACUGGACUGGAUGCCUGGACUCUCCUUAUGGAUAACCGGUCAAGGGGAGCAUAAAGGUGUGCCAAACCAGGAGAAGGAGUGCCCGGUGCUUGCGCAUACCAUCAUUGACAACAACGAAACCAGAAACACCAACACUUAGAACCACUUAGAACCACAGUUUAUCGUACUUUUUACUGCUUGAUUGUUCAACAAAAUAAAUCAUCAACCCG
ensembl:lncRNA